UACAGAGGUCUCAAGCGUUUGUUCGGAUUCAUUGGGCGUAAAGGGUGCGUAGGCGGCGCGGUAAGUCGGGUGUGAAAUCUCGGGGCUUAACUCCGAAACUGCAUUCGAUACUGCCGUGCUUGAGGACUGGAGAGGAGACUGGAAUUUACGGUGUAGCGGUGAAAUGCGUAGAUAUCGUAAGGAAGACCAGUGGCGAAGGCGGGUCUCUGGACCGAUACUGACGCU
rnacentral:rRNA from 1 species